AGAGUUUGAUCAUGGCUCAGAUUGAACGCUGGCGGCAGGCUUAACACAUGCAAGUCGAGCGGUAACAUUUCUAGCUUGCUUCAAGAUGACGAGCGGCGGACGGGUGAGUAAUACUUAGGAAUCUACCUAGUAGUGGGGGAUAGCUCGGGGAAACUCGAAUUAAUACCGCAUACGACCUACGGGAGAAAGGGGGCAACUUGUUGCUCUCGCUAUUAGAUGAGCCUAAGUCGGAUUAGCUAGAUGGUGGGGUAAAGGCCUACCAUGGCGACGAUCUGUAGCUGGUCUGAGAGGAUGACCAGCCAGACUGGAACUGAGACACGGUCCAGACUCCUACGGGAGGCAGCAGUGAGGAAUCUUCCACAAUGGGCGAAAGCCUGAUGGAGCAACGCCGCGUGCAGGAUGAAGGCCUUCGGGUCGUAAACUGCUUUUAUUUGUGAAGAAUAUGACGGUAACAAAUGAAUAAGGAUCGGCUAACUACGUGCCAGCAGCCGCGGUCAUACGUAGGAUCCAAGCGUUAUCCGGAGUGACUGGGCGUAAAGAGUUGCGUAGGUGGUUAUAUAAGUGAAUAGUGAAAUCUGGCGGCUCAACCGUACAGGCUAUUAUUCAAACUGUAUAACUCGAGAAUGGUAGAGGUAACUGGAAUUUCUUGUGUAGGAGUGAAAUCCGUAGAUAUAAGAAGGAACACCAAUGGCGUAGGCAGGUUACUGGACCAUUUCUGACACUAAGGCACGAAAGCGUGGGGAGCGAACGGGAUUAGAUACCCCGGUAGUCCACGCUGUAAACGAUGGAUACUAGCUGUUGGAGGUAUCGACCCCUCCAGUAGCGAAGCUAACGCGUUAAGUAUCCCGCCUGUGGAGUACGGCCGCAAGGCUAAAACAUAAAGGAAUUGACGGGGACCCGCACAAGCGGUGGAUUGUGUUCUUUAAUUCGAUGAUAAACGAAGAACCUUACCAGGGUUUGACAUCCCUUGAAUUUUGUCGAAAGACGAGAGUGCUUUAUUGAACAAGGUGACAGGUGAUGCAUGGCCGUCGUCAGCUCGUGUCGUGAGAUGUUUGGUUAAGUCCAUCAACGAGCGCAACCCUUGUCUUCAGUUGGAUUUUUCUGAAGAGACUGCCCCGGCAACGGGGAGGAAGGAGGGGAUGAUGUCAGGUCAGUAUUUCCCUUACAUCCUGGGCUAGAAACGCAAUACAAUGGCAAGUACAAUGCGCAGCGAAGCGGCAACGUGAAGCAAAUCGCAUCAAAGCUUGUCCCAGUUCGGAUUAGAGGCUGAAACUCGCCUCUAUGAAGUCGGAAUCGCUAGUAAUCGCAGAUCAGCAAGCUGCGGUGAAUACGUUCCCGGGUCUUGUACACACCGCCCGUCAAACCAUGAAAGUGACCAACACCCGAAGUCCGAUUCGUCGGCCUAAGGUGGGGGGCAUGAUUGGGGUUAAGUCGUAACAA
rnacentral:rRNA from 1 species